UAUCACCGAGUUUGAUAGGUAUUGGUCAGGUAAUAGCCGAGUGACAGCUGAUUUGCUUUCUGAUUUGACAGUACCUUUUCGUGGUUUUUUUUUCAGCGCCAGAUAACUGAACACAACUAAAGUCACGCGUGCCUCGCGGGCACAAUACCAAAUUUCAUCAUAUUUGAUAGAAUGAAGGACAUAUUAGUUGUGAAUAGUAUCACCGAGUUUGAUAGGUAUUGGUCAGGUAAUAGCCGAGUGACAGCUGAUUUGCUUUCUGAUUUGACAGUACCUUUUCGUGUUUUUUUUCAGCGCCAGAUAACUGAACACAACUAAAGUCACGCGUGCCUCGCGGGCACAAUACCAAAUUUCAUCAUAUUUGAUAGAAUGAAGGACAUAUUAGUUGUGAAUAGUAUCACCGAGUUUGAUAGGUAUUGGUCAGGUAAUAGCCGAGUGACAGCUGAUUUGCUUUCUGAUUUGACAGUACCUUUUCGUGGUUUUUUUCAGCGCCAGAUAACUGAACACAACUAAAGUCACGCGUGCCUCGCGGGCACAAUACCAAAUUUCAUCAUAUUUGAUAGAAUGAAGGACAUAUUAGUUGUGAAUAGUAUCACCGAGUUUGAUAGGUAUUGGUCAGGUAAUAGCCGAGUGACAGCUGAUUUGCUUUCUGAUUUGACAGUACCUUUUCGUGGUUUUUUUUCAGCGCCAGAUAACUGAACACAACUAAAGUCACGCGUGCCUCGCGGGCACAAUACCAAAUUUCAUCAUAUUUGAUAGAAUGAAGGACAUAUUAGUUGUGAAUAGUAUCACCGAGUUUGAUAGGUAUUGGUCAGGUAAUAGCCGAGUGACAGCUGAUUUGCUUUCUGAUUUAACAGUACUUAUUCGUCGUUUUUUUCAGCGCCAGAU
ensembl:lncRNA